rnacentral:rRNA from 1 species
AUUGAACGCUGGCGGCAGGCCUAACACAUGCAAGUCGAACGAGUGGCGGACGGGUGAGUAAGGUCUGGGAAACUGCCUGAUGGAGGGGGAUAAAUACUGGAAACGGUAGCUAAUACCGCAUACCCUCGGAUGUGCCCAGAUGGGCAUAGCUCGGGGGUGGGGUAAAGGCUCACCUAGGCGAAGAUCCCUAGCUGGUCUGAGAGGAUGAACAGCCACCCUGGAAGUGAGACACGGGCCAGACUCCUACGGGAGGCAGCAGUGGGGAAGUUUGCACAAUGGGCGCAAGCCUGAUGCAGCCAUGCCGCGUGGAUGAAGAAGGCCUUCGGGUUGUAAAGUACUUUCAGCGGGGAGGCGUUACCCGCAGAAGAAGCACCGGCUAACUCCGUGCCAGCAGCCGCGGUAAUAC